UACAGAGGUCUCAAGCGUUUGUUCGGAUUCAUUGGGCGUAAAGGGUGCGUAGGCGGCGCGGUAAGUCGGGUGUGAAAUCUCGGAGCUUAACUCCGAAACUGCAUUCGAUACUGCCGUGCUUGAGGACUUGGAGAGGAGACUGGGAAUUUACGGUGUAGCGGUGAAAUGCGUAGAUAUCGUAAGGAAGACCAGUGGCGAAGGCGGGGUCUCUGGACAGUUCCUGACGCUGAGGCACGAAGGUCAGGGGAGCAAACGGG
rnacentral:rRNA from 1 species